GUGGGCGUUAGCGCCAGCCCGGGAGCGAGGCGGGAAAGAAGGGGAACUGGACAGCGUUUCCUGUCUGAAGUCGCCAGGCCUGACAAUUCCCGCGUGUUGGAGGAGGCUGGGUUGGACAAAGGAAACCCCUGGAGGGCGAGGGUGCCUCCCUCCCCAACUCUGUGAUGGAGAAUGGGAGGAUGCACCCUCCAGGCUCUCUCCAAGCGGAUAUCAGCCACAACUCUCAUUUGCACUUUCCUGUAAAUCAUCUUAUUUGGUUCUCACAGUGAGGCUGAGAAGUGAGCAGGCCAGAUCGACUAUCACUGUUGCUAUCCCCACUUUACAGUUGAGAAAGGUGAGAAAACUGAUGCUUGGAGAUGUGAUCACUGCCCAGGGUCACCCAAUGAUAACAUGCAUGCAUAUGGAACUUGCUGCAUGCCAGCACCAUGAGUCCGCUCCCCAUGCUGUCCUCACCACAUUGCUCAUUUCUGAGGCCUGGAUGGUGGGCUUGCAAGGGAAGAUGACGGUUUUCUCCUCAGCUUUGCGGAGUGGCAGCAGAGUCCGUUUGCCCUGGAAAACAAAUGUCCACACAGUUAGGAAGCCCAAGGGCCCUCUGCCCUUUCCUCUCUGCCUUCCUGGAGCAUGAACCCACACAGGGCACACAGCAGCAAGGCAUCCCCGGGCAGUGCCGUGCCCACUCACCAGCUUCUUCCUGCGGUCAUCGAUCUGGCAGAAGUUCUCCUCAUCUAUCCCCAAACAUGGGCUUCCUUGAGGCACAGUCAUUCAACCAACCAGCCAGCAUUCAUUGAGCACCAUCUAUGUCCUGGGCACUGCUAGGGGAUGGUGAUAACAGGGAGAAGACUCUGUCCCUGCCUUCCAAUUGUGUAGAGGAAGACAUCCCCCUACAUGAUGGGUGAGACAUAGCAGAAGUGAGUAGGGGAUGAGGUGGGGGCUCAGAGGAGGGCAUGGUCAGCCUGUCUGGGAGGGAGUUGCAUGUGUGCAUCUGAGGUAGGGACAGGCAUGCAUCUUACAGGAUGAAUAUCGAGCAGAGUUACAGAGAGGGGGAAACUCCUUGAGGUUUCAGGAAUCACCUAAUCCACUGUGACUCACAAAUUCCUGCCUCUUGGCUUUGCCUGCAGCAUAUCUCCUGGAAGUGUGCUGGGGCAAAACUCAUCCCAGACCACCAUCUCCAUCCUCCCCCAAUACACCCUGGCUCUCCCUGGCUACCCUUGAGCACGGUGCACGUGUGCAUGGGUGCAUGCCUGCAUAUAUAGCUAUCCCCCAUGUAUUUCCCAAAGCCCUACAUAAUGCUUCAGUUUGCUAAGGAAAAAAUGUUAAUUACUGCAAAUGUGUUUAAAACUGUAAAAGUACAUUAAACAAACUCUGUAAAGUGUGAAA
rnacentral:lncRNA from 10 species